rnacentral:misc_RNA from 1 species
UAUCCUCGAAUAAACGACCUAUCUACUGCCAUGCUUGAAGACCCUUCAGUUUGAAAGGCUAUGUGGUGUUGUGGAAGAUUUGGAUCGUCUUAGAAUGAAAACAUAUAGUUGAUGAAAUCAUCAAAUUUGUGUGUUGUGUUUACAUAAUGACUCUAGGCAGUUAUUUGUUGGAUGAUGAUAGAAUUUGAUUGAUGAUAGAAUUUGGUUGAUGCUUAUUCUCUUCUUCUAAGAUGUUCAAUGGCC